AAAUUGAAGAGUUUGAUCAUGGCUCAGAUUGAACGCUGGCGGCAGGCCUAACACAUGCAAGUCGAACGGUAACAGGAAGCAGCUUGCUGCUUUGCUGACGAGUGGCGGACGGGUGAGUAAUGUCUGGGAAACUGCCUGAUGGAGGGGGAUAACUACUGGAAACGGUAGCUAAUACCGCAUAACGUCGCAAGACC
rnacentral:rRNA from 3 species